rnacentral:rRNA from 1 species
UGGGGAAUAUUGCACAAUGGGCGCAAGCCUGAUGCAGCCAUGCCGCGUGUAUGAAGAAGGCCUUCGGGUUGUAAAGUACUUUCAGCGGGGAGGAAGGGAGUAAAGUUAAUACCUUUGCUCAUUGACGUUACCCGCAGAAGAAGCACCGGCUAACUCCGUGCCAGCAGCCGCGGUAAUUCGGAGGGUGCAAGCGUUAAUCGGAAUUACUGGGCGUAAAGCGGACGCAGGCGGUCUGUCACGUCGGAUGUGAAAUCCCCGGGCUUAACCUGGGAACUGCAUUCGAAACUGGCAGGCUAGAGUCUGGUAGAGGGGGGUAGAAUUCCAGGUGUAGCGGUGAAAUGCGUAGAGAUCUGGAGGAGUACCGGUGGCGAAGGCGGCCCCCUGGAGAAAGACUGACGCUCAGGUGCGAAAGCGUGGGGAGCAAACAGG